rnacentral:lncRNA from 1 species
AUGAUAAAACAACGAGCAAAGCAAGAGCUGCCAGGGCGGCUGAGUGCCCCAAUGGCUGAAGAAAAGCCCAAGCAUAACUGCACUGUCAGUGAAGUCACAAUUGUGAACCUGCAGCCAGACAAAAAUCCAGUUCUCCUCCUGGCAGGAGGGAAGCCAGGAAGUGAUCACAGAAACCUUGGUUUCCAGCCUCCUCCUCCAAGGAUUUCAGAGAAGAAGCCAUGUCAGGGAGAGAAAAAAUUGUGUCCGGAAAAGGUGAAGAAGGAGGGAAUUUUGUCUCCCAGCCUGCAUCGUGCAAAUGAGUUGUGUAGCACAGAAAACAUCACCCUGAAGAGACCAGUGAAGUUGGCCCCUCUGGAGAUCCCUGUGGAAGUAAAAGAAGCCCAGCUCCAAAAGAUUAUGAGCAUCCAGAGAGAAGCCCAAAUGGCUGCCCAGAAGCUGAUGGUGAUCAACUCCAUCCACAAUGAACCCCACGUGAAACGGGUAAAGAAUCUGGCUCAGGGGGAGCUGGGAAACCUCCAAAAGAUAAAGCUGAAUGAGAAGGCUGCUCUGGAGAACAAAGAUGAUCCUCUACCCCCUAAAAGCAUCAAACCCCUUGGAGAAAUCCAAAUUAUUUUGCCUUCUGAGACAACCUCUAAGUCAGCUAAAGAGGCAGGUGCUGAGGAGGCUCCCAAGACACUCUGUAAGCCAUUAAUCCCCACCCUCCAGGUGUCUGACGUGCAUGGAGAGUCCAACAGCCCUGACAGCAUCCCUGAUUCCAGACAAAAUGUUCCUCGGCGCCGAUUCAGAUUGAGACACACGAACGAGCAGCAGGAAGACACUGGGAAAUCCAAACCCUUAAAGGCCACAGAUCCAAGUGUGGGAGAAGGCAAGAAGAAAACUGCAGGUCAGAGGACACAAAAAACCCUCAGUGAUGCCAGCAAGCUCAUUGAAAAUGUGUCCAAAAAGCAGAAGGAACGAGGAGCAAAGCAAAAGGAGAUGGAUGAAGCCUCUUUUGUGAGGAGGCAGUCUAUUCGAAGGAUGGCCUUGGGAGACAUCAUCCAGGUGGAUGAUGACUGAAUGUCACAGAACAGAUACCCAGGAAGUUGUUUUAGACUGCUUAGGUAGAAGUUUUCAGAAGAGGGUGUGGAGACAUCAGUAAUCCACCAAGUAAAAAUAAGGUUAUACUGUUGAACAACUCUGUCAUUUCUGAGAUGCUCAAACAAGUGGCUCAGAGGAAAUAACCGACUCUUCUCAACACUAGAAAGGCCUCAGAUAUCCUGAGCUCAGCAUGGAGUGUACUUUUCAAGACAUAUGGACCAUGCAGAAGAAAUCUGGAUGUGGACUGGGUGGAGGGAUCAAGAGGAAAACAGGAGCCUUAGAAAAUCCAGUGUCUGGGGCUUUUUGCUCCUGAGAAUACUGCCCUUGCACCCACAGCUCUGGCAAGUUUGUUUCAGAAAGACAAAAUUAAAAUGUUCUUCAUAUUUACUGUUGGCAGAACAAAAAAUAAUUAGUGUAAGUUUAGCAGGAGACAUUCAAGUCAGAAAACGAGAAAAACUUUUAAGGACAACAAACACUGAAGAAUAUUGUUUACCAAGAUGGGAAUCUCUGUCACUGAAAUUUUUAAUAAUGCAUUAGGCAAACACCUGCCAAGGAUGUUUUCAGAUGAAUUAAUCCUUCAUUCACACACAAGGACUAGAUGAUCUGUAAUGUCCUUCAAUCUCAAUUUUCUUAUAUUAUAUGGUCUAUCUUUUCAGUUGUCCAUUUGCAGGGCUACUAACUAAGCCAUGUAGUGCAAGAAGGCACAAUAAAUGCAACUUUUCACUUUGCA